UGCACAGCCUUCACUACUCAAGAUUAUACUGAUGCUCUUGAAAAAUCCAUCCUAUUUUUUGAGGGUCAGCGGUCAGGAGUGUUGCCGCCUAACCAGAGGCUCAAAUGGAGGGGCAAUUCUGGGUUGUCUGAUGGCUCUAGUUAUCAUGUGAACCUAGUUGGUGGAUACUAUGAUGCAGGAGAUAAUGUCAAAUUUGGCCUUCCUAUGGCUUUUACUACUACAUUGUUGGCAUGGAGUGUCAUUGAAUUUGGCACCUCAAUGCAUAACCAGAUUGAGAAUACCAAAGCUGCCAUCCGCUGGAGCACUGAUUACCUUUUAAAAGCAGCAACUGCCACCCCCGGCACCCUCUAUGUUCAAGUUGGAGAUCCGAACUUGGAUCAUAAAUGCUGGGAGAGGCCUGAAGACAUGGACACACCACGCAAUGUGUACAAAGUGACCACUCAAAAUCCUGGAUCCGAUGUAGCUGCAGAGACAGCUGCUGCGCUGGCUGCUGCAUCAAUUGUUUUCAAAGAUUCUGACCCUUCUUAUUCUUCCAAAUUGCUUCAAACUGCAAUGAAAGUAUUCGAUUUUGCGGACAGGUACAGAGGUUCUUACAGUGAUUCUCUCAGUUCAGCAGUCUGCCCAUUUUAUUGCUCUUACUCGGGGUACCAGGAUGAGCUUCUCUGGGGUGCAUCCUGGAUUCAUAGAGCCUCACAGAACGGCUCAUACUUGGCCUACAUCCAGUCAAAUGGUCACACAAUGGGUGCUGAUGACGAUGACUACUCUUUUAGCUGGGAUGACAAGCGAGCUGGGACAAAGAUUCUUCUUUCCAAGGGAUUCUUAGAUAAACGAGUAGAAGAAUUUCAGGUAUUCAAAGCACAUUCAGACAACUACAUAUGCUCCCUAAUUCCAGGAACUUCUAGUUUCCAGGCCCAAUAUACCCCAGGAGGCCUUUUCUAUAAAGCAAGUGAAAGUAAUCUACAAUAUGUAACUUCGACAUCUUUCCUUCUCUUGACAUAUGCUAAAUAUCUUAGCUCCAAUGGAGGAAUUGUCACGUGUGGAGGUUCGACAGUAACAGCUGAAUCACUGAUAUCACAGGCCAAAAAACAGGUGGACUACAUUUUAGGUGAUAAUCCAGCAAAAAUGUCUUACAUGGUGGGUUUCGGAAACAGGUAUCCUCAACAUGUGCACCACAGGGGCUCCUCCGUACCAUCUAUACAUGCGCAUCCAGGGCGCAUUUCCUGCAACGAUGGCUUCCAAUACCUCUACUCUAGUUCACCUAAUCCAAAUGUCCUGAUUGGAGCCAUAAUAGGUGGUCCUGAUAAUAGAGACAAUUUUGCAGAUGAUCGAAAUAACUACCAACAAUCCGAACCUGCUACAUACAUCAAUGCACCAUUUGUUGGUGCAGUUGCUUUUUUCUCAGGAAAAAACUGAGGGAUUAGUAUCCCUCCAAUAUAAUAUAAUAUUGGAUUAUAUACUGUCACUUCCAAGCAUAGAAGAGACGGACCAUUGAGUCCACUACUGCUCCAAGCUAUCGUAUUUAUUUCUCCGAGAAGCGCUGAAAAAUUCUUAACUUCGUAUUUAUAUCUAAAUGAAUACUUCUAUAGAAGUGAU
rnacentral:misc_RNA from 1 species